CGGGGUGAGUAACGCGUGGGUAACCUGCCUUAUACAGGGGGAUAACAGUCAGAAAUGGCUGCUAAUACCGCAUAAGCGCACAGAGCUGCAUGGCUCAGUGUGAAAAACUCCGGUGGUAUAAGAUGGACCCGCGUUGGAUUAGCUAGUUGGUGGGGUAACGGCCCACCAAGGCGACGAUCCAUAGCCGGCCUGAGAGGGUGAACGGCCACAUUGGGACUGAGACACGGCCCAA
rnacentral:rRNA from 1 species